GACGAACGCUGGCGGCGUGCUUAACACAUGCAAGUCGAACGGAAAGGCCCUGCUUAUGUGCGGUCCUCGAGUGGCGAACGGGUGAGUAACACGUGAGUAACCUGCACUUGACUUUGGUAUAACUUCAGGAAACUGAGUCUAAUACCGGAUAGGAGCUCCUGCUGCUUGGUGGGGGUUGGAUAGUUUCGCGUGUUGGGGAUGGACUCGCGUCUUAUCAGCUUGUUGCAGGGGUAGUGUCUUACCAAGGCCAUGACGGGUAGCAGGCCUGAGAGGAUGACCGGCCACGUUGGGACUGGGAUGCGGCCCAGACUCCUAUGGGAGGCAGGAGUGGAGAAUAUUGCACAAUGGGAUGAAGCCUGGUGUAGCAACGCCGCGUGCGGUAUGACAGCCUUCGGGUUGUAAACCGCUUUCGCCUGUGACGAAGCGUGAGUGACGGUAAUGGGUAAAGAAGCACCGGCUAACUACGUG
rnacentral:rRNA from 1 species